ACAGAAGCACGAAGCAUCGGAUUCCGGGCGGGGCGCCGCGGUCCUGUCUGUGGUGCUGAAGGAGGGGCGGGCGAGGCUCACUUUAACUGCCAUUUCCAUGGUGACAACAGCCCAGAAACGUGCCACCCCCUCCAAGCCUGACUGACCAGCCAGACCAGCUCCCCCUGGCACCUGUGGACACAUGCCAGCCAAGGAGGGCUAUGGGGCUGUUGUGAGCCUGGCAGGAAGGCACACGGGCCAAUGACAAACAGUAACCUUGACCUCCACACCUGAGGCUGUAACAGGAUCGCAUGGGCAGGCACAGAAAGGCACCUCUGGACACACACCAGCCAAGGGAAGAGAUGGUGUGGUGUGGAGCAGGUCAGCAGCUCUCUUCUCUAGGGCCCCAACAAGAUAAGAAAUACAGUGGAAUUCUAUCUUCACGUGUCCUGUCAUCCAGGGCAGGGUCACAGAUCUACCGUGGGAACCUAUGGCCAGGAAUGGUAAGGCCUGGAAUGGAGGCUCUGAGCUACGUCCAGGUCGUCAAGUCAGCACCAGUCUCUCGGGUCACUGCCUGACCAUUGUAGAAUGGGUCCUACCUGUUUUUCUCAUUAAAAGGCUUCAGGAUAGUGUAGAUUACUUUCCUGGGCCCAUGAACCACCA